UACAGAGGUCUCAAGCGUUGUUCGGAUUCAUUGGGCGUAAAGGGUGCGUAGGCGGCGCGGUAAGUCGGGUGUGGAAGCCCCGGGCUCAACCUGGGAAUUGCGCGCGAAACGGGGGGGCUUGAGUUCGGGAGAGGAGCGUGGAAUUCCCAGUGUAGAGGUGAAAUUCGUAGAUAUUCGCAAGAACACCAGUGGCGAAGGCGGCUCACUGGCCCGAUACUGACGCUGAGGUGCGAAAGCGUGGGGAGCAAACAGG
rnacentral:rRNA from 1 species